UACGUAGGUGGCAAGCGUUGUCCGGAAUUAUUGGGCGUAAAGCGCGCGCAGGCGGUCCUUUAAGUCUGAUGUGAAAGCCCACGGCUCAACCGUGGAGGGUCAUUGGAAACUGGGGGACUUGAGUGCAGAAGAGGAAAGUGGAAUUCCACGUGUAGCGGUGAAAUGCGUAGAGAUGUGGAGGAACACCAGUGGCGAAGGCGGCUCUCUGGGACGGUACUGACGCUAAGACGCGAAAGCGUGGGGAGCAAACAGG
rnacentral:rRNA from 1 species